rnacentral:lncRNA from 1 species
AGUUACCAAACCAUGGGCUUUUGGGCACCCCUCUCUGUCUCUCAAGAUGUUGUCUUGUAAGAAAUAAUCCCAUAGACAAAGAUUCUCAAGAUGAUGCACUUAGUCCUAAGUGGCUUUGAAUCUUUUGCAGGGUGUGACCCAUGCAAGCCCCUAGAAAAGUUGCUGACUAUUGUAUGAUUCCAUCACGGCCUCAAGGAGCAUCUGUUUAUCCAGUGGAAACAGAGAACAGGAUAAGCUCGUGCUCUUCUACCAGCAUUCUCUGUCUAUGAGUCAAGGGCAUCGUGUUAAAGGCAAGAAAGAAGAAUCCACUAGGCUGAGAGAGAAGCUGAUUCUGGAGAGCACCGUUAGG